GACGAACGCUGGCGGCGUGCUUAACACAUGCAAGUCGAACGGAAAGGCCCCCUUGUGGGGUACUCGAGUGGCGAACGGGUGAGUAACACGUGAGUAACCUACCCUUUACUUUGGGAUAACUUCAGGAAACUGGGGCUAAUACCGGAUAGGAGCUCCUGCUGCAUGGUGGGGGUUGGAAAGUUUCGGCGGUUGGGGAUGGACUCGCGGCUUAUCAGCUUGUUGGUGGGGUAGUGGCUCACCAAGGCUUUGACGGGUAGCCGGCCUGAGAGGGUGACCGGCCACAAUGGGACUGAGAUACGGCCCAGACUCCUACGGGAGGCAGCAGUGGGGAAUAUUGCACAAUGGGCGGAAGCCUGAUGCAGCAACGCCGCGUGCGGGAUGACGGCCUUCGGGUUGUAAACCGCUUUCGCCUGUGACGAAGCGUGAGUGACGGUAAUGGGUAAAGAAGCACCGGCUAACUACGUG
rnacentral:rRNA from 1 species